rnacentral:lncRNA from 1 species
CUGACCCAGGCGUGUGUGGAACUUUGCCUCCCACCUCGUUUGGGUGGUGGUAAUUUUCAGCUCGAGACGGGGAGCACAGUCUACCCUCUCCUCCAGCCACAGCCUCGGCUUCGGCCAGCCGACACCCUCCCCGCCCCCUGUGCCGUGCCAGGCCCACCUUGGUCCACGCUGUUCUGCAGGACGAUGCCGUCUCUCUCUGGGCUACUCUGAAUUCUCCCACCCUAGUUCUAACCUUCCUUCCUCUGUCCCUUUCUUCCCUGGGCAUGGUAUUGGACACAGUGUUUUCCAGAGGUCAAGGGCACGGGCUCUGGAGCCAGAUGGCCUGGGUUCAGACUCCACUUGUAUUGCUUAUCUGCUGUGUGAUCUUGGGCAAGUUACUACUUAACCUCUCUUUGGUCUGGUUGGCUCAUUGCUCCAAGGGUCUUGGGAGGACAAAUGUGUUCAUCCACAGGUGGCAUGUGUGAUCUGAGGGUUGAGCCACCCUGCUGCUGAUCUGUCCCUCCUUCCCCAGGCUUUUGGGGCCUUUUCUGCUUUGGGGCACUGCCGGGGAUGCGCACUCCAUCCUGCACCCACUGGUUACUGGCUACACAUUCGGCUUUCCCUGGGGCUGAGUGAAGCGGGAGCUGGGAGGUCAGGGGGUCAGGAGGUCAGGAGGCCCGUGUCCUCCAUCAUCUGCUCUAGCAGAUGCUGGCCCUCGCAGACAGACAGGCCUCUUCACUGCUCAAGGGUCCCAUUAACCCCAGGGGCCCUGCCAGAGCAGGGGUGGAGGACAAAGGAGUGUUCGGAAGUCCUAGCUUGGUGACAAAGUGCCUUGCCUCUGCACUUGCUGUCCCGGGGACAUGUGUGGAGGCUGGUGACUGACUCAGGAUGCUAGCUCUCUCUGGGGUCUCUGCAGAACUGCCAGGGGAGGAGGGCUAAGGGCUGCCUCCAGGACAGAGCGAGGACCCAGGGGAGGGGGAGACCCGUCUUGGUUCAGUAAUGGGGUGGCUGUUCUAUACCUAGAGCUGCCCAAAGUGUUAGGGGCUUGGUCAGGUGACGAGCGCUCUGUCACUGGAGAGGCUGACUGCAGCCAUGUGUGGGGUCUGUCAUGUUGAUAAAACUCUUAAGAGCUUACCACGUGCUAAGCCCUGAUUUCAGCCUUUUAUUAUCUCGCUUAAUCUUCAGUGUAACUUUUUAAAGGUAGGUAAAAAUGAUCAUUUCCCUUUUAUAUAAAUAAAGAGGUUAGAGCCCAGAGGGCUCAGGUGACGUGCCCAGGUCAGGCAGGCCAGCCUUCCAUCCUGGCUGGUUCACUUACUAUAAAUCGCUGGGUGAGUUGCAUUCGAUUCCGUUAAGUUCCUGCACCUGAAAAUCGAUGUGCUCCAAGUGCCCCGUAGACAGGAGUGUGUUGCUCCACCGGGGGCUUCUGUCAGGUGAACUCAUCAGACUGCAGGCUUCUCUCUGGUCAGCUCUCCGUGGUGCUGGGUUGUCAGGCACCAGUCCCUUCUCCUACCUGUCAUCCAAAGACCUGGCUGUGCCAAGGAACCUUUCCUCAGAGAGUCCUUUUUCUUUUUUCUUUUUUGCACCAGGAUUGAACCUAGGGCUCUCAACCGCCGAGCCCCAUCCCCAGCCCCUUUUUAAAAAUUUGAGCCAGGGUCUCCCUGAGGGGCUUAGGGCCUUGCUAAGUUGCUGAGGCUGGCUUUGAACUCACAAUCCUCCUGCCUCAGCCUUCCGAGCCCCUGGGAUGACAGGCGUGUGUCACUGUGCCCGGCUUCUCAAAGAGAGUUCUGCCCAAUGUGAGAAGGAGUCUUGAAAAAGAUCCCAUGGUCAAAGUGGUUUGGGAAGCAAUGGGUUAAACAAGGCCAAACGGGUUAUAUAUUGCAGGACUUAGGAGCUUUAAGAUGCUAAUAUCAUGGCGUGUCUCCUAGA